GGAUGAACGCUGGCGGCGUGCCUAAUACAUGCAAGUCGAGCGAACAGACGAGGAGCUUGCUCCUCUAACGUUAGCGGCGGACGGGUGAGUAACACGUGGAUAACCUACCUAUAAGACUGGGAUAACUUCGGGAAACCGGAGCUAAUACCGGAUAAUAUAUUGAACCGCAUGGUUCAAUAGUGAAAGACGGUUUUGCUGUCACUUAUAGAUGGAUCCGCGCCGCAUUAGCUAGUUGGUAAGGUAACAGCUUACCAAGGCAACGAUGCGUAGCCGACCUGAGAGGGUGAUCGGCCACACUGGAACUGAGACACGGUCCAGACUCCUACGGGAGGCAGCAGUAGGGAAUCUUCCGCAAUGGGCGAAAGCCUGACGGAGCAACGCCGCGUGAGUGAUGAAGGUCUUCGGAUCGUAAAACUCUGUUAUUAGGGAAGAACAAAUGUGUAAGUAACUAUGCACGUCUUGACGGUACCUAAUCAGAAAGCCACGGCUAACUACGUG
rnacentral:rRNA from 1 species